rnacentral:rRNA from 1 species
AUGGCCACACCAGGGAGCAGUACUGGGGCUGGCGGCAGCAGCACCAGACCGGCGAAUGGCGCAGUUGCCGUCAAUUCUGCUGCGACGGCGGUCGGUUCGGCCGAUGCCAGAUUCCACUCCCAACAACCACAUCAGCAGAGUAGAUGGGCUGGCUGUUUUUCUGGCUUGUCAUGUUUUGGAUCGCAGAAGGGUGGAAAGCGUAUAGUUCCUGCAGCACGUAUGGCUGAUGGGAAUGCGUCAACGAACCGUGGGAAUGCUCUUCAAUCUGGUAGAAAUUCCAACCAAAAUGGAGCUAUGAAUUUAUCUCUUCUUGCACCACCAUCAUCGCCCGCAUCCUUCUCGAACUCUGCUCUUCCUUCGACUGUUCAGUCACCUAACCGCUUCCUGUCAAUAUCUGCAAACUCUCCUGGUGGCCCAACGCCUAAUAUGUUCGCUGUUGGACCAUAUGCCAAUGAACCUCAACUUGUCUCACCUCCAACAGCCUUUUCAACUUUCACAACUGAGCCCUCUACAGCACCACUGACCCCUCCUCCUGAACUAGCUCAUGCAACCACUCCGUCCUCUCCAGAUGUUCCAUAUGCUCGGUUUCUUUCAUCAUAUACGGGUCCUAAAACUGCUGGCAAGGAGCAUAACAUGCAUUACCUGUCAACAACAUACUCUGGUGGUUUAGGACUCCAGGGAUCUUAUCCACUUUACCCAGGGAGCCCUUCUAGCAGCCUCAUAUCGCCUGCCUCAGUAACUCCAAGGACCGGUCUAUCCUCACCAAUCCCUGAGCAAGAUGUUCCUACUGCACACUGGAAGACAUCUAGGUCCGUCUGUGACACGCCAUAUUCCAUUGCAUCGCCCAUUCCUGAGCAAGAGGUCCCUACUGCACAGUGGAAGACUUCCAGAUCUGCUUGUGACACACCGUAUUCCAAUACAUCACCAUCAAAUAUUUUUGGACUUGAUUCAGCUGCCCCUAGAAACUGUCUGCUAGAUAGCAAUUUUUUCCGUCCAGCGGCAUCUGCUCAGUUCUACCUGGAUCAGGCUCAACAGUCAUUUCCGUAUAAUGGUGGAAGGCUUAGUGUCUCAAGGGAUAAGCAAGAUGCUGAUGAGGUUGAAGCAUACAGAGCAUCAUUUGGAUUCAGUGCUGAUGAGAUUGUUACAACUCAACAUUAUGUAGAAAUACCAGACGCGCUGGAUGAUGGGUUCAGCAUAUCCCCAUUUGGAAACAACGCCCCUUCUACUGAGGUGUCCCCAUUUAUUGAUCUGCCUAAUGAGGUUCAGAAAGUUGAUAAAAUGGAUAAGUCACUCUUGAAUGUAAACGAGACCACAAGCACAAAGAAGUCGCUGGACCAGCUUUCUGGUGGCAGUCCACAUAAAGUACUGCACCUGGAUAUAUUCAAAGGAACGAAAGCGGGGCAUCUGUCUGAGGAUGAUGCAACCGCGAAAGAUUGCCAUCCUUUCAGGAAGGCGAGGGAUGAAAUAUCUCUAAAACCCAUUGAGGUCUCAGGAAGAGAUCUCCGCCUGGCCAGGCAUGCUCAGAUGCUGAAAUCGAGUACAGAAGGGCGAGGAGUUUGA